GCCCAUCCAUAAGAAUUGUAUAGUCGUGGUAAAGGUUAGGGAGAUUGGAGAUUGUGGGUCUGCAUGUACUUGGGGCCUAUACUCGGUAACUCAUACUGGACACAGCUCUGAGUAUACUUUCUACUGUAGUUAGGGAUGGCUGGGAUAUGGAUGAAGCUGAACCUGAAGAGUGAAUUCCUCUGUGUUUGAAACCAAAAAAACAGAGAAAUGCAAGAGCAGACAUUGUUCCUGCCUGUGACUAACUUUAUGACUUUAUAAGAGAAAGUAAUCUCAGAGGCAUUACUUACCUCAGUAAAAUGAAGUAAGUUAAAUGUUUGCCAAGAAAGAAACUGUUGACUCUUCUAAUGAUGACAGUUAAAAUCUCAUACUCAAAGUAGGAGGAGGAGCAUUUUCAAAUAAAUCUAUAUUUUCAUGGACUCAGGAGUGUCACAGAGAACAGUAAGCUGUGCAUAAAGAUCACGACAUGAGUUUGGAAGAACAGUAGAAUUUGGAUGGACCCAAAGAGAAAGAUAAGAUGUUACUAUGGAGAGACUCCACUCUAAGCACUAAUGUUGGACUUAAUCACGUGGUAAUUGCUGUUAAACAAGCACUCCUUGAGAGACAUCUCUCUUAUGAACAUCCCUUCAGAUGAACAAAACCAUCUCCUCCCCUCUUCUGAGGGAUUUGAAAAACAAAGCUUGCCUGUCUAUCUAAAGCAUAUUCUUCAGCUGUUGAGAAGAUUCAGAUGGAAAUGAGAGUGAACCCAGGAAAUAGGAGUUACAUUAUAAAUAUCUGAAUAAAUGAAGAAUUAUCAAACAAAUUGAUGAAUGCAUCCAAGCUAUGACCUGGACCAAGAACUUCUGUGGUGGGAAAAAGAAGGUUUUCUCACUUAAGUGGCCCUCCUGAAUGAACUGUUUGCCUCUCCACAGUUGCCUAGUUUUGCCUUCCUACCUUACUGUGCCUUCCUUAAAUGAAACAGGUGGAGUUAAAGAAAUAGAAAAUCUAUAAUAACAAAUAACAUUAUUUGUCCCCACUUACCACUCAAAAGGAGUCUGAGCCUCCUGUACCUACUUCUUCUGCUGGUUAAGUUAGAGAGAAAUCUGGAAGAUGGUGAUGGCACAUUUCUUGAAUCUGUCUGACUAUCCAUUAAAAUAAACAAAGUAAUGACUAUGGUAAAACCAAACACCCAUAAAAGAAAACAUAUGAAAAUAUAUUUUCCUGUACCUCCAAAUGUGAGUGGUGACCAACCACCAACAGUUCACAAUACAAGGUAUUCAUACCUGUGUGGGGAGACGCAGAAGGAAGACAACUGGAUAUCUGUUAGUUCUGAGAAUGGUGAGCACUGGGCUAAUCUGAGAAUAGCAUCAGAAAGAAUAUGACAGGUUUCUGUAGAAUCCAACUCAAAAAAGACUACAAUGGAUUAUACUACCAUAAAUUCUAAUGGUGCUUGAGGCAUC